UAAAGUUCGUCGCCGUCGUCGACCCUGUACUUUUCCGUCGAAUCCCCAAAAGAAAAACCCUAGUUCUUCCUCCCAAAUCGGACCUCGCCGCCUCUCCUCCUCAUCUUCGCCGGACACUUGACUUGGGUUGACAAAGAUGUCUAGUCGAGGACCAUCAAAGUCCAAAACUAGAUGGAUGGCGCCUAGGAAGAUCUUGCAUCAAGCAAGGGAGUGUCAGAGAGAGCUAGAAGGCGCUCGUCGUUCCAUAUCUAUCCCUAGUGUCCCUCCCUCUACAUCCUUUUGCACCAACGAUAGAGAGAUGGAUCAUAUUACCCCAGAGUCUUCUUAUAGGGUAGAUUUUGCAUCUUCCCGUGCAGCAUGUCAGCCUGAGGAGCAUGAUUUGCCGACCUCUACACACUCUAUACCAUCUGUACACUCGAUGGUUGGAGAGGAUGCCUCUGCAUCCGUAUCAGCAGCUCGUCCUUUACAUUUGAGAAACUAUCAUCCUAAUCGUGCUGCUAAAUGUGGAGAGAAGCGUGCUACAAGAGCUGAAGAUGCAGGGCUACCACGGGCAUGUAAGAAGACUCGGGGGAAGUAUAAAGCCCAUCGAUUGGCUCCGAGUUCCGAGAUAGAUGAACCGGCAUUUCCUUUGAAUUUUGAUGAGGAGUUUCACAUAAUUGGCUCCAAUGCUGAGCGAUUUGGGCAGUAUAUUAGGCAGAAAAGCCGUCAAUUUACGGACUUUCCACUUCAUCUGAAUUGGUGUGCGCAUCAUGAGCGUUCAUUUGAAAUAUUCUUUCUCCAAGCUUAGAAAGAUUAUGAGUUUUUGCCCCAAGAUCCUUAUUGUCCACUCAACCUUCCUGUUAUCUACCGAGGCAUAAAGACAAAGAUGCAGAAGAGGGUCCGAGGCAAUCAAAAUCAGGUGAAGAUGGAGUGCUCUGAACUAUGGUUGAAGACCCCAGAAGAGAAGAGACGUGCUCUCUUCCAGGAAAAGGUGUUUGAAGGGAUUGAUGAAAAUUGGUGGGGUGACCUAUGCUCGUUUUAUUCUUCUAAGAGCAAACAGCGAGAUCGAGCAACCUAUAUAGGUGGCUUGAGGAGCAUAGUUCGAGCAAAAUAGAAAGUGAGAUCUCAAAUCGAAGAAUCAGGUGGCUCCUCAAGUGCCUUGAAGGAGUAUUUGGGUACCCACGCGACAUUAGUGGAUCCAAAUGGUGACACAUACUCGUGACCGGGUGAUAGAAAAGGCAAAAUCAUUAGGUGUCGACCAAGAACCCAAGUUUGCCGCGAUGAUCAAAGUUUUAGAUGAGGUACAUGAAGGGCAUCACGGUAGUUAUGAGAGAGGCUUGGGUCAUGGUGUCAGUAGACAUUAUUUGAAGACUUCCUACACUCCGAUAUUUGCCACUCCUCCUGAUGUCCUUCGCGAGAUGGCUGAGCUUAAGUCCAAGAUGGAACGACUUACCCAACUAAUUGAUUCUCAGACCACUCGUCCACCACCUGUUAUUCCUGCUACUACUCCCCUGACUUUAUCUCAUCAUUCUCCAGAUGCUCAGGGUUCUACAUUAGCUGCUUAAUGUUCUCCUCAGGAUAUUUUGACACAAAACCCUCUUGCUAGUUGAAUGGGAGGCGUGCUGGGGGGCAUGCUGGGGGGUGUCUUAGGGAGCUUUACACAGGAGGGCUAUAGCGAGGAGGACAUCCGCAAAGCUUUUGCUGAUUAUAUUUGAUUAAAUCACCCGUGAUUUGUACUUUUAAUUAACAUACUUAAGACAUUUGUAUAUUUCAGAUAUCCUCUUUUGGGACUUGAGUAAUUUAUAAGUUGUUGUAUUUUGGUUCUAGUCAGUCUUUUAAUUUAUA